rnacentral:rRNA from 1 species
CGCUGGCGGCGUGCUUAACACAUGCAAGUCGAACGGUAAGGCCCUUCGGGGUACACGAGUGGCGAACGGGUGAGUAACACGUGGGUGAUCUGCCCUGCACUUCGGGAUAAGCCUGGGAAACUGGGUCUAAUACCGGAUAGGACUCCUGGCUUCAUGGUUGGGGGUGUAAAGCUUUUGCGGUGUGGGAUGGGCCCGCGGCCUAUCAGCUUGUUGGUAGGGUAAUGGCCUACCAAGGCGACACGGGUAGCCGGCCUGAGAGGGUGACCGGCCACACUGGGACUGAGAUACGGCCCAGACUCCUACGGGAGGCAGCAGUGGGGAAUAUUGCACAAUGGGCGCAAGCCUGAUGCAGCGACGCCGCGUGAGGGAUGACGGCCUUCGGGUUGUAAACCUCUUUCAAUAGGGACGAAGCGCAAGUGACGGUACCUAUAGAAGAAGGACCGGCCAACUACGUG